CAGUAGCCGCGGUAACACGGAGGGGGCUAGCGUUGUUCGGAAUUACUGGGCGUAAAGCGCACGUAGGCGGCUUGGUAAGUUAGAGGUGAAAGCCCGGAGCUCAACUCCGGAAUUGCCUUUAAGACUGCCGAGCUAGUAGGUGAGAGAGGUAAGUGGAAUUCCGAGUGUAGAGGUGAAAUUCGUAGAUAUUCGGAAGAACACCAGUGGCGAAGGCGGCUUACUGGCUCAUUCUAGACGCUGAGGUGCGAAAGCGUGGGGAGCAAACAGGAUUAGAUACCCCUGUAGUCCCUGUCUCUUAUAC
rnacentral:rRNA from 1 species